UACGAAGGGGGCUAGCGUUGUUCGGAAUUACUGGGCGUAAAGCGCGCGCAGGUGGUCUUUCAAGUCAGUGGUGAAAGCCCGGAGCUCAACUCCGGAAAUGCCAUUGAAACUGUGAGACUUGAGGAUGAGAGAGGUGAGUGGAAUUCCCAGUGUAGAGGUGAAAUUCGUAGAUAUUGGGAAGAACACCGGUGGCGAAGGCGGCUCACUGGCUCAUAUCUGACGCUGAUGCGCGACAGCGUGGGGAGCAAACAGG
rnacentral:rRNA from 1 species